rnacentral:rRNA from 1 species
GAUCCUGGCUCAGGAUGAACGCUAGCUACAGGCUUAACACAUGCAAGUCGAGGGGGCAGCGGGAUUGAAGCUUGCUUCAAUUGCCGGCGACCGGCGCACGGGUGAGUAACGCGUAUCCAACCUUCCGUACACUCAGGGAUAGCCUUUCGAAAGAAAGAUUAAUACCUGAUGGUAUCUUAAGCACACAUGUAAUUAGAUUAAGAUUUAUCGGUGUACGGAUGGGGAUGCGUUCCAUUAGGUAGUAGGG